UCCUCCAACAGUAGCCAACACGGGAGAUAUACUCUCUCACCCAACCAUCAAUUAUCGAAUUCGCCUUCCCCUUCGACCACCAGACAUCCUCCGGCGCCGCACCACAGAUUCCUUCAAUUACCCAUUAUUCUCUCCACCGGCCAUCACUCCCUCUCCUCUAAACUAUUCUUCAUCAUCACUCACCCAAAGUUCAUCAAUUCUUCAUAAUUCCAGAUUUUGAGGUUGACGGAAGAUUUCAGUGGAUUGUUGUUGGACGAGAACCCGGUGGCACAAGCUAUCAAGCUACUGAUAGAAACGAAACAUGUUCUAAUAUCAAAUUUAUCAGCUAUCGGAAAUGGAACGCCUGAAGAAUUAGCAAAACUACUCUGGUUUUCGUUUGUUUUGUUCUCGGUGAAAACAUUGAGUGAGAAGAGUUCUGAUAAUUCACAAAUUGACAGCUGCUAAGCUGAAUUGCUUCCAGCAUUGUGGAUUUCUUUAAGGAGCUUCCACAGUUUAUUGUUAAGGCCGGGCCAAUUUUAAGUAAUCUGUAUUAAUGAAGACCUCCUUAUUAGCUAGUCUCUUGUUUGCAUUUGGUUUCUUCUGCUAGUGUUUUCAUCUUUGACUCGAAUAUAUUAAUUACUUCUUCUAUUUCUAAUUAUCUGUUAACAUGGCUGUUUCUCACAAGAUAUAUGGAAUUCUUUUCAGGUACAUCAUGGAGGUUCUGGGACAGCUGCUGCUGGUUUGAAAGCUGCGGUAACAUAAUUGCUUAUGCUAUUCUUUGCAAUCUGACAUUUUUGAAUGAAAGCUGCGGGCAUCACAUAGAGAGAAUAAUGGGGAUGAUGAGAGGAUAGAGAACUUGGCCAGGAGGUCAAAUGACCAAUCUGAACAAUGUUGUGGGAGUAUGAGAUAUGCUCUUAUGAAGUUCUUUGGGAUGGUGAAUGUGAUACUGAUUCAAAAUCGCUUCUCAAUAAGUUUGCAAGAAAGGCGUCAUUCAAACUUUCAUGGUGGUGCAAAGGUGACCAGAGUGACCAGCACAAGCAUGACAUUGUCUCUUUUGAAAGAGGAAACAUAAUAACUGCAGAGCGCAGCAGUAAACAGAUGAAUUUACUCUAUCUAAACAUUCACUUUUAUUUCAGAUUUCUUUGAAGGGGAAACUCACCCACGGACUGUGCUUAUACUGACCAAACCAAAUUCAACUUAUGUUCGAAUUC